rnacentral:rRNA from 1 species
AGCAGCCCAGAGCCUGAAUCAGUGUGUGUGUUAGUGGAAGCGUCUGGAAAGGCGUGCGAUACAGGGUGACAGCCCCGUACACAAAAAUGCACAUAUUGUGAGCUUGAUGAGUAGGGCGGGACACGUGGUAUCCUGUCUGAAUAUGGGGGGACCAUCCUCCAAGGCUAAAUACUCCUGACUGACCGAUAGUGAACCAGUACCGUGAGGGAAAGGCGAAAAGAACCCCGGCGAGGGGAGUGAAAAAGAACCUGAAACCGUGUACGUACAAGCAGUGGGAGCACGCUUAGGCGUGUGACUGCGUACCUUUUGUAUAAUGGGUCAGCGACUUAUAUUCUGUAGCAAGGUUAACCGAAUAGGGGAGCCGAAGGGAAACCGAGUCUUAACUGGGCGUUAAGUUGCAGGGUAUAGACCCGAAACCCGGUGAUCUAGCCAUGGGCAGGUUGAAGGUUGGGUAACACUAACUGGAGGACCGAACCGACUAAUGUUGAAAAAUUAGCGGAUGACUUGUGGCUGGGGGUGAAAGGCCAAUCAAACCGGGAGAUAGCUGGUUCUCCCCGAAAGCUAUUUAGGUAGCGCCUCGUGAAUUCAUCUCCGGGGGUAGAGCACUGUUUCGGCAAGGGGGUCAUCCCGACUUACCAACCCGAUGCAAACUGCGAAUACCGGAGAAUGUUAUCACGGGAGACACACGGCGGGUGCUAACGUCCGUCGUGAAGAGGGAAACAACCCAGACCGCCAGCUAAGGUCCCAAAGUCAUGGUUAAGUGGGAAACGAUGUGGGAAGGCCCAGACAGCCAGGAUGUUGGCUUAGAAGCAGCCAUCAUUUAAAGAAAGCGUAAUAGCUCACUGGUCGAGUCGGCCUGCGCGGAAGAUGUAACGGGGCUAAACCAUGCACCGAAGCUGCGGCAGCGACGCUUAUGCGUUGUUGGGUAGGGGAGCGUUCUGUAAGCCUGCGAAGGUGUGCUGUGAGGCAUGCUGGAGGUAUCAGAAGUGCGAAUGCUGACAUAAGUAACGAUAAAGCGGGUGAAAAGCCCGCUCGCCGGAAGACCAAGGGUUCCUGUCCAACGUUAAUCGGGGCAGGGUGAGUCGACCCCUAAGGCGAGGCCGAAAGGCGUAGUCGAUGGGAAACAGGUUAAUAUUCCUGUACUUGGUGUUACUGCGAAGGGGGGACGGAGAAGGCUAUGUUGGCCGGGCGACGGUUGUCCCGGUUUAAGCGUGUAGGCUGGUUUUCCAGGCAAAUCCGGAAAAUCAAGGCUGAGGCGUGAUGACGAGGCACUACGGUGCUGAAGCAACAAAUGCCCUGCUUCCAGGAAAAGCCUCUAAGCAUCAGGUAACAUCAAAUCGUACCCCAAACCGACACAGGUGGUCAGGUAGAGAAUACCAAGGCGCUUGAGAGAACUCGGGUGAAGGAACUAGGCAAAAUGGUGCCGUAACUUCGGGAGAAGGCACGCUGAUAUGUAGGUGAAGUCCCUUGCGGAUGGAGCUGAAAUCAGUCGAAGAUACCAGCUGGCUGCAACUGUUUAUUAAAAACACAGCACUGUGCAAACACGAAAGUGGACGUAUACGGUGUGACGCCUGCCCGGUGCCGGAAGGUUAAUUGAUGGGGUCAGCGCAAGCGAAGCUCUUGAUCGAAGCCCCGGUAAACGGCGGCCGUAACUAUAACGGUCCUAAGGUAGCGAAAUUCCUUGUCGGGUAAGUUCCGACCUGCACGAAUGGCGUAAUGAUGGCCAGGCUGUCUCCACCCGAGACUCAGUGAAAUUGAACUCGCUGUGAAGAUGCAGUGUACCCGCGGCAAGACGGAAAGACCCCGUGAACCUUUACUAUAGCUUGACACUGAACAUUGAGCCUUGAUGUGUAGGAUAGGUGGGAGGCUUUGAAGUGUGGACGCCAGUCUGCAUGGAGCCG